rnacentral:rRNA from 1 species
AGUAUACCGAAUCAGUAUAGCUAUCCUUCUUUUGACACAGCAACGCAAUUUGAAAUAGUAUCAAAAGUAAGUACUAAAUAAUUUCUUUUUUCCUUUACUUGUUGAUGUAAAAUCAUCUUCCAUUCAAUAGAAAAUUCUUUCAAUUCAACGAAAGAGAUUCUCAUAUUCACACAAUUUAAGUAGAUGCGAGAUAUAGAAAUUUUCUUUUCGUAGUUGUGGAAGCAGUUUUGUUGUCGGAAUCCUUUUUUUAAAGAAGAAGUUAAUGGUCGAGUAAGAAAUAAGAGUAGUAGAUCAUAUUCGAGGAAAGAAAAAAUCGAAUAAUUGGAAUCCAUAGUUGUGAUGCAUUGUUGUGGAUCUCGAUCCAAAGGUUCUUUCUUGAUCUAGCUACAAGGAUGGGGCAGUAGGGAAAGAUAAAAUGUGGAACCUAAUAGAAAUUACUAGUUUUAGAAUCUAGUUGGACAAAAAAAAGAUUUUUUCAAGCGAUUGUGUGAUAACUUUUUCUUCUUCUCCAUCAUUCAAGAUAUUAUGUGAAUUAAUAUAUUACUAAAUCUAAUGAGUUAAACUUAAAUUAAAGUAAAAAGAAAAAGUUUUAUAAGGUAACUGUUCGCUUUAAAAUAAGAGCCUGCGUGCCUGUUGAAGAAUGAGCCGGCGACUCAUAGGCAGUGGCUUGGUUAAGGGAAUCCACCGGAGCCGUAGCGAAAGUGAGUCUUCAUAGGGAAAUUGUCACUGCUUAUGGACCCGAACCUGGGUGAUCUAUCUAUGACCAGGAUGAAGCUUGGGUGAAACUAAGUGGAGGUCCGAACUGACUGAUGUUAAAGAAUCAGCGAAUGAGUUGUGGUUAGGGGUGAAAUGCCACUCGAACCCAGAGCUAGCUGGUUUUCCCUGAAAUGCGUUGAGGCACAGCAGUUGACUGGAUAUCUAUGGGUAAAGCACUAUUUCGGUGCGGGCCGCGAGAGCGGUACCAAAUCGAGGCAAACUAUGUAUACUAGAUAUGACCUCAAAAUAACUGGGGUCAAGGUCGGCUAGUGAGACGAUGGGGGAUAAGCUUCAUUGUCGAGAGGGAAACAGCCCGAAUCACCAGCUAAGGCCCCUAAAUGAUUGCUCAGUGAUAAAGGAGGUAGGGGUGCAGAGACAACCAGGAGGUUUGCCUAGAAGCAGCCACCCUUGAAAGAGUGCGUAAUAGCUCACUUAUUGAGCGCUCUUGCGCCGAAGAUGAACGGGGCUAAGCGAUCUGCCGAAGCUGUGGGAUGUGAAAAUACAUUGGUAGGGGAGCGUUCCGCCUUAGAGAGAAGCAUCCGUGUGAGCGGUGGUGGACAAAGCGGAAGCGAGAAUGUCAGCUUGAGUAAAGUAAACAUUAGUGAGAAUCCAAUCGCAAACCUAAGGGUUCCUCCGCAAGGUUCUUCCACGGAGGGUGAGUCAGGGCCUAAGAUCAGGCCGAAAGGCGUAGUCAAUAGACAACAGGUGAAUAUUCAUGUACUGCCCCUUGUUGGUCAUGAGGGACGGAGGAGGCUAGGUUAGCUGAAAGAUGGUUAUCGGUUCAAGAAUGUAAGGUGUCCCUGCUUUGUUAGGGUAUGAAGGGGUAGAGAAAAUGCCUCGAGCCAAUGUUCGAAUACCAGGUGCUACGACGCUGAAGUAACCCAUGCCAUACUCUCCGAAAAGCUCGAACGACUUUGAGCAAGAGGGUACCUAUACCCGAAACCGACACAGGUGGGUAGGUAGAGAAUACUUAGGGGCGUGAGACAACUCUCUCUAAGGAACUCGGCAAAAUAGCCCCGUAACUUUGGGAGAAGGGGUGCCUCCUUACAAAGGGGGGUCGUAGUGACCAGGCCCGGACGACUGUUUACCAAGAACACAGGUCUCCGCAAAGUCGUAAGACCAUGUUUGGGGGCUGACGCCUUGCCAGUGCCGGAAGGUCAAGGAAGUUGGUGACCUGAUAACAGGGGAGCCGGCGACCAAAGCCCCGGUGAACGGCGGCUGUAACUAUAACGGUCCUAAGGUAGCGAAAUUCCUUGUCGGGUAAGUUCCGAUCCGCACGAAAGGCGUGACGAUAUGGGCACUGUCUCGGAGAGAGGCUCGGUGAAAUAGACAUGUCUGUGAAGAUGCGGACUACCUGCACCUGGACAGAAAGACCCUAUGAAGCUUCACUGUUCCCUGGGAUUGGCUUUGGGCCUUUCCUGCGCAGCUUAGGUGGAAGGCGAAGAAGGCCUCCUUCCGGGGGGGCCCGAGCCAUCAGNACAGGGGAGCCGGCGACCGAAGCCCCGGUGAACGGCGGCUGUAACUAUAACGGUCCUAAGGUAGCGAAAUUCCUUGUCGGGUAAGUUCCGAUCCGCACGAAAGGCGUGACGAUAUGGGCACUGUCUCGGAGAGAGGCUCGGUGAAAUAGACAUGUCUGUGAAGAUACAGACUAGUUGCACCUAGAUAGAAAGACCCUAUGAAGCUUCACUGUUCCCUGGGAUUGGCUUUGGGCCUUUCCUGCGCAGCUUAGGUGGAAGGCGAAGAAGGCCUCCUUCCGGGUGGGCCCAAGCANAAGGAAGUUGGUGACCUGAUGACAGGGGAGCCGGCGACCGAAGCCCCGGUGAACGGCGGCCGUAACUAUAACGGUCCUAAGGUAGCGAAAUUCCUUGUCGGGUAAGUUCCGACCCGCACGAAAGG